rnacentral:sRNA from 1 species
CGAAGCAUGCAAUAAUAGCUUACGAAGUGCUGUGGUGUUCCCUUGGAGAAUCCAAGACUAAAGCUACAGAUAUCCACUUCAUAAGACGCUGCUUCA